rnacentral:rRNA from 1 species
UGGGGAAUCUUGCACAAUGGGGGAAACCCUGAUGCAGCGACGCCGCGUGAGCGAUGAAGGUUUUCGAAUCGUAAAGCUCUGUCCUAUGGGAAGAUAAUGACGGUACCAUAAGAAAAAGCCCCGGCUAACUACGUGCCAGCAGCCGCGGUAAUACGUAGGGGGCUAGCGUUGUCCGGAAUCACUGGGCGUAAAGGGUUCGCAGGCGGAAAUGCAAGUCAGGUGUAAAAGGCAGUAGCUUAACUACUGUAAGCAUUUGAAACUGCAUAUCUUGAGAAGAGUAGAGGUAAGUGGAAUUUUUAGUGUAGCGGUGAAAUGCGUAGAUAUUAAAAAGAAUACCGGUGGCGAAGGCGACUUACUGGGCUCAUUCUGACGCUGAGGAACGAAAGCGUGGGUAGCAAACAGG